GGGCGGGUAGCUCAGCGGGAGAGCAUCGGCCUUACAAGCCGGGGGUCACAGGUUCAAAUCCUGUUCCGCCUA
rnacentral:tRNA from 1 species